CAAUAGCGUAUAUUAAAGUUGUUGCAGUUAAAAAGCUCGUAGUUGGAUUUCUGGCUGGAGCGAUCGGUCCGCCCCGCAAGGGGUGUGUACUAGCGUCGUCUCCGACCAUCCUUGUGGGAACUGUGCGGCCGUUAACUCGGUUGUAUAUGGGAACACAUCGUUUACUGUGAAAAAAUUAGAGUGUUUAAAGCAGGCUUAAGCCGUUGAAUACAUUAGCAUGGAAUAAUAAGAUAAGACUUGGGUCAUUAUUUUGUUGGUUUGCGGAUCGAGGUAAUGAUUAAUAGGGAUAGUUGGGGGUAUUCAUAUUUAAUUGUCAGAGGUGAAAUUCUUGGGAUUUUAGUUAAGAAACGGACUUACGUACGUACGGAACGGAACGACUUUAGUUACCCAAAAGGGGAAUUGGUUUUUUUCCAAUUUUAAGUACUAACGAAACGGAAAACGGUUAAAAGGGGUUAGGGGUACG
rnacentral:rRNA from 1 species